GACGAACCGUGCAAACGUUAUUCGGAAUCACUGGGCUUAAAGAGUCCGUAGGCGGCAUGUUAGGUGAGGUGUGAAAUCCCCCGGCUCAACCGAGGAAUUGCGCUUCAAACCGGCGUGCUUGAGGAAGAUAGAGGUGGGCGGAACUGAUGGUGGAGCGGUGAAAUGCGUUGAUAUCAUCAGGAACACCGGAGGCGAAGGCGGCCCACUGGGUCUUUUCUGACGCUGAGGGACGAAAGCUAGGGGAGCGAACGGG
rnacentral:rRNA from 1 species